AGAGAGAGACAGAGAGAGAGACAGACAGAGAGAGAGACAGACAGACAGAGAGAGAGACAGAGAGAAAGAGACAGAGAGAGAGAGAGAGACAGAGAGAGAGAGAGAGAGAGAGAGAGAGAGAGAGAGAGAGAGAGAGAGAGACAGAGAGAGAGAGACACAGAGAGAGAGAGAGACACAGAGAGAGAGACACAGACACAGAGAGAGAGAGAGAACAUGUAUUAUACUCCGUCACGAUUUUAUUGGCAACUGCAAGGAGAUUUUAUUAUACUGAUUAACAACAUUUGCAUAGAAGAUUCAAUCUCUUUUAUAAAAGUGUGCACAGUCUCUAAGUAAUGAGGUCAUGCAUGAGGCAGAAUAUGGAAUGUAGUGGAAACCAGACGGGAGGUGAGGGAGACGAAGAAGGGAAUUCGUUUUUGGUGGUGAGGGAGACGAAAAAGGGAAUUCGUUUUUGGUGGUGAGGGAGACGAAGAAGGGAAUUUGUUUUUGCUGGUGAGGGAGACGAAGAAGGGAAUUCGUUUUUGCUGGUGAGGGAGACGAAGAAGGGAAUUCGUUUUUGUUGGUGAGGGAGACGAAGAACUGAAUUUGUUUUUGGUGGUGAGGGAGACGAAGAAGGGAAUUCGUUUUUGGUGGUGAGGGAGACUAAGAAGGGAAUUUGUUUUUGGUGGUGAGGGAGACUAAGAAGGGAAUUCGUUUUUGGUGGUGAGGGAGACUCAGAAGGGAAUUUGUUUUUGGUGGUGAGGGAGACUAAGAAGGGAAUUUGUUUUUGGUGGUGAGGAAGACUAAGUGAAUUAACAACGGGCUGUUGUUGUUUUUGCAGACAAUCGGCAUUGAAAUCAUCUUAUUUUCUGUUAUGAUUUGCCACAAUUAUCACAAACAAAGUACUAGGGAAGUGAAUUGAUGUGAAUUACAAAGCCAUAUUGAGGUCAAGACCCUUAAGGAUUUAAAGACUCUCAUACUUCGAACAAGUUUCAAGAAUUGCCUUCACGAAAGAGUUGCAACCUACAUUUAUGAGCACAAGGAUCUCACUUGAGAAAGCUGCAGAUGUUUGUGAUGACACACAAAAUUACCUUCACAAACAAAGCACCCUGUAGUUAUCCCUAUGCAAAAAGCAAUUCAAAUUAGUCAAAGAUCGGCAGAAAACAUCUUUUUUUUUCUCGUAUCCACACUCCAGCCCAUUAGGUCUCUCUCUGGUGGGGACUGGGAACACUCCAGCCCAUUAGGUCUCUCUCUGGUGGGGACUGGGAACACUCCAGCCCAUUAGGUCUCUCUCUGGUGGGGACUGGGAACACUCCAGCCCAUUAGGUCUCUCUCUGGUGGGGACUGGGAACACUCCAGCCCAUUAGGUCUCUCUCUGGUGGGGACUGGGAACACUCCAGCCCAUUAGGUCUCUCUCUGGUGGGGACUGGGAACACUCCAGCCCAUUAGGUCUCUCUCUGGUGGGGACUGGGAACACUCCAGCCCAUUAGGUCUCUCUCUGGUGGGGACUGGGAACACUCCAGCCCAUUAGGUCUCUCUCUGGUGGGGACUGGGAACACUCCAGCCCAUUAGGUCUCUCUCUGGUGGGGACUGGGAACACUCCAGCCCAUUAGGUCUCUCUCUGGUGGGGACUGGGAACACUCCAGCCCAUUAGGUCUCUCUCUGGUGGGGACUGGGAACACUCCAGCCCAUUAGGUCUCUGGUUGGGACUGGGAACACUCCAGCCCAUUAGGUCUCUCUCUGGUGGGGACUGGGAACACUCCAGCCCAUUAGGUCUCUGGUGGGGACUGGGAACACUCCAGCCCAUUAGGUCUCUGGUGGGGACUGGGAACACUCCAGCCCAUUAGGUCUCUGGUUGGGACUGGGAACACUCCAGCCCAUUAGGUCUCUGGUGGGGACUGGGAACACUCCAGCCCAUUAGGUCUCUGGUUGGGACUGGGAACACUCCAGCCCAUUAGGUCUCUGGUGGGGACUGGGAACACUCCAGCCCAUUAGGUCUCUGGUGGGGACUGGGAACACUCCAGCCCAUUAGGUCUCUGGUGGGGACUGGGAACACUCCAGCCCAUUAGGUCUCUGGUGGGGACUGGGAACACUUCAGCCCAUUAGGUCUCUGGUGGGGACUGGGAACACUCCAGCCCAUUAGGUCUCUGGUGGGGACUGGGAACACUCCAAGACUUUGGAUCAGAUGUGUAUGAAACCUUUGUUUCAGAUGGGUUUGUGUGUCUGCAGAGUAGCGAUGCUGUUGAGCAGCCAGUGAAGAUACUGACACCGGGGUUGCCCAAUCCUUCAUUUUGGAUGGUGUUCUGCCUUUGACGCGUCAAAGGCAGAACUAUAGACCCACUAUAGACCCUUGUUUGAUCCCAGACUGUGUCGCAGCCGGCCGCGACCAGGAGACCCAUUAGGCGGCGCACAAUUGGCCGGCAUGUCCUUGUCCCUGUCCCAUCACGCUCAAGCAAGUACGUGUGGCGGGCCGGGUGUAUGCACACUGAUCGCUUCUGCGGUCGCAAAAGGUACGGUGUUUCCUCCGACACAUUGGUGCUACUCGCUUCUGGGUUAAGCGAGCAGUGUGUCCAGAAGCAAUGCGGCUUGGCGGAGAUGUGUUGCCGAGGGCGCAUGGUUCUCGACCUUUGCCUCUCCUGAGGUCAUCCGUUGCAGCAAGACUGUAACUACCAAUUGGAUAUAGCGAAAUCGGGGGGAGGACUCCUGAGUUCAUCUCCCCUUUGAAAAGCCCAAAGGUGAGUGAUUUUGUAGGACCGCUGAAGGAAGACCGGUUGACACUUUAAUGUCCAGGAAACAGCCGAUUGCUGAACAGAGUAAUGACGAAGAGGAGUUUGAUGAAGUUUGUGUGAGUUACUUUUGACGGAGAUGGCGUUCUCACACCACUUCCUGGCAAGACAAUUGGUCCAGUGUAUCUCAAAUUGCUGUUCCAGUUACCCUUCGACAGGAGAUAACGAGGUUGGGUCAUGACGGUAGUAUGGCAGGCCAUCUUUGGGUCAACAAGACGUGUGACCGUAUCUUGCAUAACUUCUUCUGACCUGGUCUGAAACAGGAUGUUGUGGCUCACUGUAAAUCCUGUGGCGUUUGCCAGCAGACGGGUAAACUGAACCAAGCUGUACCGGUUGCAACUUCGCAGCCUAUUCCUGCUUUUGACUAACCUUUCAGUAGGGUUCUGGUGAACUGUGUUGGGUCCUUUGCCCAGAGUGAAGAGCGGUAACCAGUUUCUCUUAACCCCGGUGGGGUUCUUUUCAAUGUUUCUGACUUCAGCAGGUAGUGCAGGCGGACCAAUGUUUCUGACUUCAGCAGGUAGUGCAGGCGGAUCAAUGUUUCUGACUUCAGCAGGUAGUGCAGGCGGACCAAUGUUUCUGACUCCAGCAGGUAGUGCAGGCGGACCAAUGUUUCUGACUCCAGCAGGUAGUGCAGGCGGACCAAUGUUUCUGACUCCAGCAGGUAGUGCAGGCGGAUCAAUGUUUCUGUCUUCAGCAGGUAGUGCAGGCGGACCAAUGUUUCUGUCUUCAGCAGGUAGUGCAGGCGGACCAAUGUUUCUGUCUUCAGCAGGUAGUGCAGGCGGACCAAUGUUUCUGUCUUCAGCAGGUAGUGCAGGCGGACCAAUGUUUCUGUCUUCAGCAGGUAGUGCAGGCGGAUCAAUGUUUCUGUCUUCAGCAGGUAGUGCAGGCGGACCAAUGUUUCUGUCUUCAGCAGGUAGUGCAGGCGGACCAAUGUUUCUGUCUUCAGCAGGUAGUGCAGGCGGACCAAUGUUUCUGUCUUCAGCAGGUAGUGCAGGCGGACCAAUGUUUCUGACUUCAGCAGGUAGUGCAGGCGGACCAAUGUUUCUGACUUCAGCAGGUAGUGCAGGCGGACCAAUGUUUCUGACUUCAGCAGGUAGUGCAGGCGGACCAAUGUUUCUGACUUCAGCAGGUAGUGCAGGCGGACCAAUGUUUCUGACUUCAGCAGGUAGUGCAGGCGGAUCAAUGUUUAAGUUUCAUGUCACGGGUCUUCCAGCAAGUGCUGCAACGGUUGGGUGUAGCAAGUUGUCCCUCUGGUGCCUACCGCCCAGAGGCUCUUGGGAGAUUUCAUCAGACUUUGAGGUCUAUGUUGAGAGCUGACCGCUUUGAGUUGGAUGGGUCCCUCUUGUGCUGUUUGCAACGCAGGAAUCUUUUAGUCCAAAAGGGGCUCGUGUUUGGACAUCAAGUCAGCAGAAAAACCUCACUGUGUCAUGUCAACAUGUUGAAACCGUACUUAAACCGCUACGAUCGGGCGGCGAAGUCGGUGGAAAACCGGUAGUGAUGUUCUGCCUGUGGCCACUAGUGUCAUCGUUGACGAAAGUCUUCCUCAAGAGCACGAGGAAAGCCCAAUACUCAACCGGUACAGGGUGUAACUCAGAGAUUCUAAAAAUCCUUGAUGUCUUUUUGGCACCAUUGUCUCACUACUGUUAGAAUAUCAGGGUUUACGCUCAGAUGUGCCGACUCAGACAAAUGUACUAGAGCACAACAUUGACGUUGGGGCCUCGAGCCAACAACAUGCCUAUCAACCAAACCCUGAAAAGAGAGAGAAGCUCCACAAUUUUUUUAUUUUUUAUUUUAUUUGACCUUUAUUUAACUAGGCAAGUCAGUUAAGAACAAUUCUUAUUUUCAAUGACGGCUUACCGGGGAACAGUGGGUUAACUGCCUGUUCAGGGGCAGAACGACAGAUUUGUACCUGGUGGAACAAACUCCCUCACGACGCCAGGACAGCGGAGUCAAUCACCACCUUCCGGAGACACCUGAAACCCCACCUCUUCAAGGAAUACCUAGGAUAGGGUAAGUAAUCCUUCUCACCCCCCCUAAAAAGAUUUAGAUGCACUAUU